rnacentral:rRNA from 1 species
UACGGAGGGGGCCAGCGUUGCUCGGAAUCACUGGGCGUAAAGGGCUUGUAGGCGGUCUGAUAAGUCCUGUGUGAAAUCCCUUGGCUUAACCAAGGAACUGCGCCGGAUACUGUCGGACUAGAGGCCGGGAGAGGGAAGCGGAAUUCCCAGUGUAGCGGUGAAAUGCGUAGAUAUUGGGAGGAACACCGGUGGCGAAGGCGGCUUCCUGGACCGGUUCUGACGCUGAGAAGCGAAAGCUAGGGUAGCAAACAGG